ACGCUGGCGGCAUGGAUUAGGCAUGCAAGUGGAACGGGCACUUCGGUGUCAGUCGCGAAAGGGUGAGUAACGCGUGAACAAUCUGCCCUCAAGCUCGGAAUAACUUCUGGAAACGGGAGCUAAUACCGGAUGUGGUUAUUUUUUGGCAUCAAAAAAUGACUAAAGGUUUACCGCUUGAGGAUGAGUUCGCGUCCCAUUAUGCUAGUUGGUAAGGUAACGGCUUACCAAGGCUAUGACGGGUAGGUGGUCUGAGAGGAUGGUCACCCACACUGGAACUGAGAUACUGUCCAGACUCCUGCGGGAGGCUGCAGUCGAGAAUCUUCCGCAAUGCGCGAAAGCGUGACGGAGCAAUGCCGCGUGAUCGAUGACGGCCUUCGGGUUGUAAAGAUCUGUCAGGGGGGAAAAACAGUGAUGGUACCCCCAGAGGAAGCCACGGCUAACUACGUGCCAGCAGCCGCGGUAAUACGUAGGUGGCGAGCGUUAUUCGGAAUCACUGGGCGUAAAGGGUCCGUAGGGGGUGAGGUCAGUCUGAUGUGAAAGCCGGGGGCUCAACUCCCGAAGUGCAUUGGAUACUGCCUCACUAGAGUGCGUGAGAGGUAAGCGGAAUUUGUGGUGUANCGGUG
rnacentral:rRNA from 1 species